UACGUAGGGAGCGAGCGUUGUCCGGAAUUACUGGGUGUAAAGGGAGCGUAGGCGGGGAUGCAAGUUGGGUGUUAAAUCUACCGGCUCAACUGGUAGUCGCACUCAAAACUGCAGCUCUUGAGUGAAGUAGAGGCAGGCGGAAUUCGUGGUGUAGCGGUGAAAUGCUUAGAUAUCACGAAGAACUCCGAUUGCGAAGGCAGCUCACUGGACUGCAACUGACACUGAGGCUCGAAAGCGUGGGGAGCAAACAGG
rnacentral:rRNA from 1 species